rnacentral:rRNA from 1 species
CGAGGAAUCUUGCGCAAUGGGGGAAACCCUGACGCAGCAACGCCGCGUGAGUGAGGAAGGUCUUCGGAUCGUAAAGCUCUGUCGGGUGGAAAGAAAUGUAUGGGGUUAAUAGCCUUCAUACUUGACGGUACCACCAAAGGAAGCACCGGCUAACUCCGUGCCAGCAGCCGCGGUAAUACGGGGGGUGCAAGCGUUGUUCGGAAUUAUUGGGCGUAAAGAGCGUGUAGGCGGCUUGGCAAGUCAGAUGUGAAAGCCCUGGGCUUAACCCAGGAAGUGCAUUUGAAACUGCCUAGCUUGAGUAGGGGAGAGGGAAGUGGAAUUCCUGGUGUAGAGGUGAAAUUCGUAGAUAUCAGGAGGAACACCGGUGGCGAAGGCGACUUCCUGGCCCUAUACUGACGCUGAGACGCGAGAGCGUGGGUAGCAAACAG